UACAGCAACCAAAAUUCCAUUAGGCCUAGGGUUAGGGUUUGUGAGAUGGGCGACCGUACAAGCUCUGCUGUGACUAAGCCAAUAUGGAUGAAGCAAGCGGAAGAGGCAAAGAUCAAGAGCGAGGCUGAAAAAGCCGCCGCCGCCAAAGCUGCCUUCGAAGCCACAUUCAAGGAUGCCGCCUCCGCCUCCGCUCCUGCGGUGGCCGACUCCUCCUCUUCUGACAGUGACGACGCUGAAGAAGACGCCGAGAGUCGCCUCGCCAGCAAGCCCAUCGGCCCCGUCGACCCCUCCAAAUGCACGGCUGCCGGCGCUGGAAUUGCGGGCGGGGCCGCCUGUUCGGCUUCGUCGUUCGUCGUCGUGACCAAGGAUUCCGAUGGCAGAAAGGUUCCCAAUGGUGGCGCUCAGAUUAGGGUUAGGGUUUCGCCUGGAGUGGGCGUCGGCGGAUCGGACCAGGAGGGCAUCAUCAAGGACCAAGGCGAUGGCAGCUACACUGUCACAUAUGUAGUGUCCAAGAGAGGGAAUUAUAUGGUACACGUUGAGUGUAACGGCAAGCCCAUUAUGGGUAGUCCCUUUCCAGUUUUCUUCAGUGCAGGUACUGCUAGUGGAGGAUUGUUGGGUUUGGCUCCUGCAUCUACUUUUCCUAAUCUAGUUAACCAGACAAUGCCCAAUAUGCCAAAUUAUUCAGGGUCUGUUUCGGGGGCAUUCCCCGGAUUACUUGGAAUGAUUCCAGGCAUUGUUCCUGGUGCUUCAGGAGGAGCAGUUUUACCUGGGAUUGGAGCAUCCCUUGGUGAAGUUUGUCGAGAGUACCUUAAUGGACGUUGUGCCAAAACUGAUUGCAAGUUUAAUCACCCACCUCACAAUUUGCUGAUGACUGCAUUAGCUGCAACCACCACCAUGGGAACCCUCAGUCAAGUUCCGAUGGCUCCUUCUGCAGCUGCAAUGGCUGCUGCUCAGGCAAUUGUUGCUGCCCAAGCCCUUCAAGCUCAUGCUGCUCAGGUUCAAGCACAAGCCCAGUCAGCCAAAGACUCAGCUGGCUCUCCAGAUAAAGUGGGGAAGGCUGAUGCUCUUAAAAAAACACUACAAGUCAGCAAUCUCAGCCCCCUUCUAACUGUGGAACAGUUGAAACAGCUUUUUAGUUUCUGUGGCACAGUUGUCGAAUGUAGCAUCACUGAUUCAAAGCAUUUUGCAUAUAUAGAAUACUCAAAACCAGAAGAAGCAACUGCUGCUUUGGCAUUGAACAAUAUGGAUGUUGGAGGUCGCCCAUUAAAUGUUGAGAUGGCAAAGUCACUCCCUCCAAAACCAGCUAUAUUAAAUUCUCCACUGGCUUCACCUUCUCUGCCCAUGGUAAUGCAGCAAGCAGUUGCCAUGCAACAGAUGCAAUUUCAGCAGGCUCUGCUUAUGCAACAAACAAUGACUGCACAGCAGGCAGCUAAUCGAGCUGCAACCAUGAAGUCAGCAACAGAAUUAGCAUCAGCUAGAGCUGCAGAAAUAAGUAAAAAGCUAAAAGCUGAUGGAUUUGUAGAGGAAGAGAAGGAAGAAAAGGAAGAAAAUAAAAAAUCUAGGUCGCCAUCCAUAUCUCGUGCAAGGUCAAAAUCCAGGUCAAAAUCACCUCUCCACUACCGGCGACGGCGGAGAUCUCGUUCUUUUUCACCUCCAUCCCGGUACUCAAGAGACCACAGAUCUAGAUCACCAUUUAGAUCUCAUCACUACUCAAUUCAUGACCAUGGAAGCAGGUCAUAUAGAGACAAUAAAGAUGGCAGUGAUAGAUCUAGAAGGCGGGAUUUGGAUAGAUCACAUGAUCAUCAUUUAUCUAGCUCAAGGAGAAAUAGGAGUAGGAGUCGAAGCCCUAGAUCUAGAAAAUCAUAUCGAGCUGAUUCAGAAUCACCAAAACGCCGUGUAGAGAGUUCAUCACAUAGAACCAGGAAAUCAUCUCGUGUUAGUCCAAAAUCACCAAGACAUCACAGGGGAAAUAGGUCAUCACCUAGAAAUGAUGAUGACAACAAAUCAAAACGGAGAAGGCGGUCCCGGUCAAAAUCUGUGGAAGGUAAGCAUUAUUCUAAUGAAAAAAUAGAUGAAAGACGAGAUAAAAAAUCAAAGCAUCGUGACAGAAGGCGGUCCAGGUCAAUAUCAGCAGAGGGAAAGCAUCAUAAAGGAAGUGGGUCCUCCCCACGAAGUUUUGAUGACAGCAAAUCAAAGCAUAGAAAGCGAUCCAGGUCAAAAUCUGCAGAAGGUAAGCGUGUUUUAAGUGACAAAACAGAUGAAGGCAGAGAUGAGAAAUGGAAGCAUCAUGACAAGAGGCGUUCCAGGUCACGAUCAGCAGAAGGUAAGUACUGUAGACUAAAUAGGUUAUCUCCUAAAAGUUCUGAUGAAAUCAGACCAAAACAUAGAAGACAUUCAAGGUCAAGAUCUGCAGAAUAUAGGCGUUCAGAUAAUAAAGGAGAUGAAAAAUUAAUGCAUCACAAGGAACCAAAAGAACGUGAAGUCACCGAGGACUUGAAGGAACCAAGCAAACAUAAGAUGCCAAAAAUAGAGGACAUGGAGCUGGCCACAACAGGAGUGGAAGACCAAGGUGGAGGUGAAAAAUCAGCUGAGGUGGUUGGCAGAACUGGUUUCAGCGAGGGUCAGGGUUAUGUCAAUGAUGACGGGAAGGAUAAAUCAGAAAACUUGAUGAUUGCAGAUCCCCCUGCUUUGAAUGUUCAUAUCACCAACACUGUGUCAUCUGAUGCAGAUUUGAGUUAUGGGGUCUUCAGGGCAGAAGAUGUUAAUCGAAACAAAGAAGAUGUCAAUGAAUGGGACAUCUAUGAGAAGAGCUCUGGUCUUGUUUGAGGAGACGGUUGAGACCCUCCACUACAAAUUUAUCCAAGUUUGAGUUCUGAGCAAUGAGUCCUGCUUCUGCAAAGAAGGGCUGCUUGCUUAGAAGAUUGCUUAGUGCUUCUUUUGGUGCUCAGAAUUUUCUGUAGGUUGGGGAACUUCAUAAAAUUGCAUCUUGUGUUUGUUUAUCUUGUGCAGGUUCAUGGGGAACAUAUUGGAACUAGGGUGUCUGAGCUGAUCUUAAUAUGGUGAAAAGUAAUUCAGAAGUGUUACUGCCCCAAAUCUGGUACCAACCAUGCAAUAUUUGUACUACUGUUUCUAUGAUGUAUGGUGGACUAUAAUCUCUUAUCACUAGGUACUGAAUUUCUUGAACAGAAGUGUUUUAAGGUUUGUUAUGACAACACAUGUCCUUGUUUUCCUUUAAGAUAACAUUCUGCUGUUGUUGUCAGAAGUUAGAACGAUUUUUAUGAAGCCUUGACAUCCUUGAUAAAUUGUAGCAUAGGAAUUAAAUCUUCAGUUAUUGUGGGGAUCUAAAUAGGUUAUUGAAUAAAUGUUGUAUGUGCUGAAGAUAAGCAUGCUUGAUUUGAAGGUGAAUCUGCACCUUAGGUUUUAUAUGGUGGCUUCUGUUGGAGGUUUCUCACAUCAAUUUGGCUGGGUUGAUUUUCUCUGUUUGUAAAUGAAGGUAAGCUUGUUUUAAGGUCCAGUGAAAUCAGAUGUUGCUGGGAUGCAUAGCUUUGCAAAUGCACUUUGUUGAAUAUGAGCAGAUUGGCUGAUUUACUGUACUUUUAGUUCAUGAUGAAAUGCGAGUAUUGAGUAUAGCAGGGUAAGCUAUGGAUAUGAUGAAUUGAGAGGUGAAGCCCUUGAUCUCAACAGCGGGCACAAUGCACUUGCAUGAAGUGUCAGCAAAUUUUUGGUCCAAACUCUCUUCUGUAGUUGAAAUGUGGAAGGUGAAUGGAAAAGACACCAAGCUGAGGUGAUUUUGCAUCGAUAUUCCUUCCAUUUUAAGUUCUCUCUUGUCUGCAGCUGCUGAAUGUGGCUCAUAGCUAUAUCCUGCACUUUUCCUGUUGCUCUUCACUACUCACUAGAGUACAUUUAUCCAGAAUGUCACCACAACUAAAAUACCCUCUUAGUUGAGAUGGCAUUAAAUGAAAUAAUUUGUAUUCCCCCCUGGUUCUGAAAGAGAAUCGAGUUUGAGGGAGCGGUCUUGUUUGUUAUGGAAAAAAACCUCACUGGGAGGUUGAUCAUUUAGUAGCAGUAUUCGUCUUACUUUCCGA